UGAGCUCAAAUUUAAAAUCUGGCAGUCUUACUGUCCGAGUUGUAAUCUGGAGAAGCAUUUUCCGUGUCAGACCGUGUACAAGUCUCUUGGAAUAGAGCGUCAUAGAGGGUGAGAAUCCCGUCCAUGACACGGACUGCCAGGGCAUUGUGAUGCGCUCUCGAAGAGUCGAGUUGUUUGGGAAUGCAGCUCAAAAUGGGUGGUAAAUUCCAUCUAAAGCUAAAUAUUGGGGAGAGACCGNUNGCGAA
rnacentral:rRNA from 1 species